AGAAUCUCUUGAAACCAGAGUUCUGGAUUUAAACAUGGACGGUCAGACGUGCUUGAACAAGAUUGGAAUGCCAAAAGUGAGGUAGGCAGGUGUCUCAUUUUUGCUGCUUCUGUUAUUUUUGCUGGCAUCACAGUUUAUGUUUCUUUCUUUCUUUGAGGUAGGCAGGUGUCUCAUUUUUGCUACUUCUGCUAUUUUUUCUGACAGCUCAGUUCAGAUGCAUUGGUUUCCUUCCUUCCUUC
rnacentral:lncRNA from 1 species